rnacentral:rRNA from 1 species
AUACGGAGGAUGCGAGCGUUAUCCGGAUUUAUUGGGCUUAAAGGGAGCGUAGGCGGGAGCUUAAGUCAGCGGUUAAAUGGCGCGGCUCCACCGUGCCCUGCCGUUGAAACUGGGUUUCUUGAGAGUGCAAGAGGCGGAUGGACUUCAUGGUGUAGCGGUGAAAUGCUUAGAUAUCAUGAAGAACUACGAUUGCGAAGGCAGUCCGCUGGGGCACGUCUGACGCUGAUGCUCGAAGGUGCGGGAAUCAAACAGGAUUAGAUACCCUGGUAGUCCGCACGGUAAACGAUGAUUACCCGCUGUCGGCGGCAGACAGUCGGCGGCCAAGCGAAAGCGAUAAGUAAUCCACCUGGGGAGUACGCCGGCAACGGUGAAACUCAAAGGAAUUGACGGGG